CAAAAAAGAUUUUAAGUUCAUAAGAUUCAAUGUUUUAUUUUAACAAAAUAAUGUACUUAGCAUAACAUAACAGUCAAUAACCCCACAGGAACCUGGAUAAAGUCUGCCAUGGCAUCUGAAGCCUGUGGAUAAUAAGAAAAGUACAAAUUAAAAAAAACAGAAUGCGGAGAAAGUUUUGAUUUUCUUGUGUACAACCCAUGACAAACAGAAUAGCAAUGCAUACAAGAUACAUUGUAGAACUCUUUCCUCGAGGGAAACAAAGACAUCCCAGUGUAGCCGUCCUCAUGGCAACAUCAUUGGUCUAGAAGUAGGGAGAACAAUAAAAGUAAGCACAAGCUUAUUCUGAAGAAACUGAAUCACAUUUGGUCACAAUAAGUGGCAUAAAAUAAGGUAACACUUUAUUUGUUGUCUGACCGACUGAUUAUAAUUUUGAUGGUUGUAUAGUUUAAGGAACAAUGGCAAUUUCCCAACCUGCUAUCAGCUGAUUAUUAUAUUAAUGUCAUAGACUGAUGCUCAAUCAUUAUUUCAACAACUAACUGUGUUUAGUUGUGUUUAGUCACCCAAAUACCAUCAACACAAAUUAGUAGCCUAUUCUUAACUAGCUUAACGUGGCAUGUUGUCAUUAAGUAACUAACAUUGUCUGCAUCCUACAGCAUUACUCUACUUACUCGGUUUAGAAAAAAAACUGUGUAAAGGUUUUUGCCUUUUAAUGAUUAUGUGCCAUGAUUCUAACACAAGUGUCCACCUCUGGACAGCAACAUGUCUCCGUAGCAAACCCGCUGGUGCGAGCAUCUUAACAGUAAUGUUGCAUUUAAAGGUGCCUCGGAAAAACACAUUACUAUACAUUAGCAACUGAUUAAACCAUUGUAAUGAUUAAUCAGUUGUGCUGUGGACAGAGGGCACAUAUUGCUGGGUUUCAGAGGAUGUAGCACCGACGUCACCCAAUGCAGAUGGAGGGCAGGAAGUAAAUCCAGCCCAUUUCUUUUGUUGAUCUAGCAUCAAAAUGCCUAAAAUCUGUGUCAUUUACGGUUGUUCAAACCGUUCUAAUAGAGAGAAAGAUAAACCUUAUUUUCAUGUUUCGAAGGUAUUUGGUCACAAGGGAGUUAAUUUUAAAAAAUUAACUGAAAAAAGAGGAAGAAAGUGGAUCGACAAUCUACAGCUAAAAAUAGGUGGUGUGAAAACACCUAACAAUGCCAGAGUUUGCAGCGACCACUUUCUAACAGGUAACGAUCACAUCAUUUUAAUUGUAUUUUCAGAUAUUUUAUUGGACAGUUAUUUAGAAAGACAAGCAUUCAUAUGUAAGGUAAGAUAUAUUAUUUUUACGCCCUAACUUGGUAGUCCCCAGAGUGUUAAUGUUGUUAGCAGUUAGCUCAGUGCCGAGUCACAGACAGAAAAUAUAAUGUUUAUUCAGUGGGACUUUCAUGCUAAAAA